GAUGAAGAACGUAGCGAAAUGCGAUAAGUAAUGUGAAUUGCAGAAUUCAGUGAAUCAUCGAAUCUUUGAACGCACAUUGCGCCCCUUGGUAUUCCGAGGGGCAUGCCUGUUCGAGCGUCAUUAUAACCCCUCAAGCUCAGCUUGGUGUUGGGGCCUGCCGCACGGGCAGCCCUUAAAAUCAGUGGCGGUGCCAUCUGGCUCUAAGCGUAGUAAUUCUUCUCGCUAUAGAGUCCCGGUGGAUGCUUGCCAUUAACCCCCAAUUUUCUAUGGUUGACCUCGGAUCAGGUAGGGAUACCCGCUGAACUUAAGUAUAUCAAUAAGCGGAGGA
rnacentral:misc_RNA from 1 species